rnacentral:rRNA from 1 species
CCUACGGGUGGCAGCAGUGGGGGAUAUUGCACAAUGGGGGGAACCCUGAUGCAGCGACGCCGCGUGGGUGAAGAAGCGCCUCGGCGCGUAAAGCCCUGUCAGCAGGGAAGAAAAUGACGGUACCGGAAGAAGAAGCCCCGGCUAAAUACGUGACAGCAGCCGCGGUAAUACGUAGGGGGCAAGCGUUAUCCGGAUUUACUGGGGGUAAGGGGGGUGCGGACGGGGAUGGAGGCCGGGAUGAAAAGCCCGGGGCCAAACCCCGGGAGUGCCCUUGGAACUGCGUGGCUGGAGUGCAGGAGGGGCAGGCGGAAUUCCUGGUGUAGCGGUGAAAUGCGUAGAUAUCAGGAGGAACACCGGUGGCGAAGGCGGCCUGCGGGACUGCAACUGACGUUGAGGCCCGAAAGCGUGGGGAGCAAACAGGAUUAGAUACCCGGGUAGUC